rnacentral:rRNA from 1 species
AUUGAACGCUGGCGGUAGGCCUAACACAUGCAAGUCGAACGAGUGGCGGACGGGUGAGUAAUGUCUGGGAAACUGCCUGAUGGAGGGGGAUAACUACUGGAAACGGUAGCUAAUACCGCAUACCAUCAGAUGUGCCACGAUGGGAGUAGCUUGUUGGUGGGGUAACGGCUCACAAGGGCGACGAUCCCUAGCUGGUCUGAGAGGAUGACCAUCCACACUGGAAAUGAGCCACGGUCCAGACUCCGACGGGAGGCAGCAGUGGGGAAUAUUGCCCAGUGGGCGCAAGCCUGAUUCAGCCAUGCCGCGUGUGUGAAGAAGGUCUUCGGAUUGUAAAGCACUUUAAGUUGGGAGGCGUUACCAACAGAAUAAGCACCGGCUAACUUCGUGCCAGCAGCCGCGGUAAUAC